rnacentral:rRNA from 1 species
CCUACGGGAGGCAGCAGUGGGGAAUCUUGCGCAAUGGGCGAAAGCCUGACGCAGCAACGCCGCGUGCGGGAUGAAGGCCUUCGGGUUGUAAACCGCUUUCAGCAGGGAAGAAAUUGACGGUACCUGCAGAAGAAGCCCCGGCAACUACGUGCCAGCAGCCGCGGUAACACGUAGGGGGCGAGCGUUGUCCGGAUUUAUUGGGCGUAAAGAGCUCGUAGGCGGUUCGGUAAGUCGGGUGUGAAACCUCCAGGCUCAACCUGGAGACGCCACCUGAUACUGCUGUGACUAGAGUCCGGUAGGGGAGUGUGGAACUCCUGGUGUAGCGGUGAAAUGCGCAGAUAUCAGGAAGAACACCAGCGGCGAAGGCGGCACUCUGGGGCCGGUACUGACGCUGAGGAGCGAAAGCGUGGGUAGCAAACAGGAUUAGAUACCCUGGUAGUCCACGCCGUAAACGUUGGGCACUAGGUGUGGGUCUCAACCAACGAGAUCCGUGCCGACAGCUACGCAUAGUACGCCCGCCGUCGGGUAGGUACGGCCGCGACGGACGUAAACGUACAAUAGAAGUUAGACGGCGNGAGACGUACGACCGAACGGACGACGACGAGGGAGUAGG